rnacentral:rRNA from 1 species
UAGACCUCAAAUCAGUCAGGAUUACCCGCUGAACUUAAGCAUAUCAAUAAGCGGAGGAAAAGAAACUAACAAGGAUUCCCCUAGUAACGGCGAGUGAAGUGGGAAAAGCUCAACUUUAAAAUCUGGCAGCUUCGCUGUCCGAGUUGUAGUCUCGAGAAGUGUUUUCCGCGCUGGAUCGUGUAUGAGUCUGUUGGAAUACAGCGUCAUAGAGGGUGAGAACCCCGUUCAUGACACGACUACCAGUGCUUUGUGAUACACUUUCGAUGAGUCGAGUUGUUUGGGAAUGCAGCUCAAAAUGGGUGGUAAAUUCCAUCUAAAGCUAAAUAUUGGCGAGAGACCGAUAGCAAACAAGUACCGUGAGGGAAAGAUGAAAAGCACUUUGGAAAGAGAGUUAACAGUACGUGAAAUUGUCGAAAGGGAAACGCUUGAAGUCAGACGUGCGCGGUGCGAUUCAGCCUUGGUUCGCCAGGGUGUACUUCGUACCAUUGCAGGCCAGCAUCGGUUUUGUGAGCCGGAUAAAGGUUAGAGGAAGGUAGCGGUCCAGGCCGUGUUAUAGCCUCUAACUGAAUACGGAUUAUGAGACCGAGGGACGCAGCGCGCC